rnacentral:rRNA from 1 species
GCCCACCUCAAGAUGAGAUUUCCCAUUUCUUUAAGAAAGUAAGAUCCCUGAGAGAUGAUCAGGUAGAUAGGUCAGGAGUGGAAGUGCAGUGAUGUACGGAGCGGACUGAUACUAAUCGAUCGAGGACUUAACCAA